rnacentral:tRNA from 2 species
GGAGACGUCGCAUAGCCCGGUCUAGUGCGCCUCACUGCUAAUGAGGUUAACCCCUAAAGGGUUUCGGAGGUUCAAAUCCUCUCGUCUCCG